CCUACGGGGGGCUGCAGUGAGGAAUAUUGGUCAAUGGGCGGAAGCCUGAACCAGCCAAGUAGCGUGCAGGAUGACGGCCCUACGGGUUGUAAACUGCUUUUAUACGGGAAUAACGCGCCUUACGUGUAGGGCUUUGCAUGUACCGUAUGAAUAAGGCCCGGGUAAUUCCGGGCCAGCAGCCGCGGUAAUACGGAGGGUCCGGGCGUUAUCCGGUUAUAUUGGGUUUAAAGGGUGCGUAGGCGGGCUUUUAAGUUAGCGGUAAAAAUUCGGGGCUCAACCCCGUCCUGCCGUUGAAACUGGGGGCCUUGAGUGGGCGAGAAGAAGGCGGAAUGCGUGGUGUAGCGGUGAAAUGCAUAGAUAUCACGCAGAACCCCGAUUGCGAAGGCAGCCUGCCGGCGCCCGACUGACGCUGAGGCACGAAAGUGCGGGGAUCGAACAGGAUUAGAUACCCCUGUAGUC
rnacentral:rRNA from 1 species